GGCCAGGACAGGAACGCAGCAACGGU
rnacentral:SRP_RNA from 1 species